GAAAUGCGAUACUUAAUGUGAAACGCAACGCUGUGAAUCAUCAAGGUUUCGAACGCACAUUGCGCUGUUUCAGUCUUCUGAGACAGCAUGCCUGUUUGAGCAUCGUUUCAAAACCUCAACCCAAAUCAUAUCGGUUUGGCGUUGGACGUUGAGUGUCCUACUAUCGACUUCGGAAGAGAGUAGGUCAUUUAAAAUGGAGACCCCUUUCUGGAUGCAAGCAACUCUAUGCUCGCUUCUUGUGCUGUGACGAGAUGAUGCCUUCGGGCAGCAUUUCCCCGACACUCGAAUUGCUUCUUGCAUAUUGCAUGCGUCAACUUAUUAAAGGAAAGGAUCGACCCUAUAAUUUCAAUCAAUUAUCACGCAAGUGAUGAUGAAUGAUCUCAAAAUCGCGAUCUCAAAU
rnacentral:misc_RNA from 1 species